rnacentral:rRNA from 1 species
CGAAAAGCCUGGACGGAGCAAUACCGCGUGAGGGAGGAAGGCUCUUGGGUCGUAACCUCUUUUCUCAGGGAAGAACAAAAUGACGGUACCUGAGGAAUAAGCAUCGGGCUAACUCCGUUGCCAGCAGCCGCGGUAAUACGGAGGAUGCAAGCGUUAUCCGGAAUGAUUGGGCGUAAAGCGUCCGUAGGUGUUUUGUAAGUCUGUGGUUAAAGCGCGAAGCUUAACUUCGUAAAGGCCAUGGAAACUACAAGACUAGAGUGAAGUAGGGUUAGAGGGAAUUCCCAGUGUAGCGGUGAAAUGCGUAGAGAUUGGGAAGAACACCGGUGGCGAAAGCGCUCUACUGGACUUAGACUGACACUGAGGGACGAAAGCUAGGGGAGCG